UUUAUUUUGCACCCUCCUCUUUUUUUCUCUUUUUUUUAAUGCCCCAGUUGGCUGUUCUGCUGAUUCUCGAGAUGCAGCUGAGUGAUCUUAUUUUCUUGCUCAAGAAGUCGGGAAAUCUCGUCAGGAAUCCCUUCAACAUCCUCUUCUUCCGCUUCGAAUACAGGGAAUUCAAAAUUGGGAGAUGACGUCGGAUCAUUAUGUUCAAUGGGUUUGAG
rnacentral:lncRNA from 1 species